rnacentral:lncRNA from 1 species
GGUACAGGGAAGACACGGUACAGUGACAGACACGGUACAGUGACGGACACGGUACAGAGACGGACACGGUACAGAGACGGACACGGUACAGAGACGGACACGGUACAGGAAGACACAGUACAGCGACGGACACGGUACAGCGACUGACACGGUACAGGGAAGACACGGUACAGAGACGGACACGUACAGGGAAGACACGGUACAGAGACGGACACGGUACAGCGACAGACACGGUACAGGGAAGACACGGUACAGUGACAGACACGGUACAGUGCGGACACGGUACAGAGAUGGACACGGUACAGGAAGACACAGUACAGAGACGGACACGGUACAGCGACUGACACGGUACAGGAAGACACGUACAGAGACGGACAUCGGUACAGGGAGGACACGGUACAGGGAUGACACGGUACGGAGACAGACACGGUACAGGGAGGACACGGUACGGAGACAGACACGGUACAGGGAAGACACGGUACAGGGAUGGACACGGUACGGAGACAGAACCGGUACAGGGAGGACACGGUACGGAGACAGACACGGUACAGGAGGACACGGUACAGAGACGGACACGGUACAGGGAAGACACGGUACAGGGAUGGACACGGUACGGAGACAGACACGGUACAGGGAGGACAACGGUACAGAGAGACACGGUACAGAGACGGACAUGGUACGGAGGCUGACACGGUACAAAGACAGUGCACGGACACUGUCCAGUUCCCCUCAGAUAACGGUUUGCAGAACUUCAGGUGGUAAAGCUGCUGAGCACAUUGCCUCUGUUUCUGUGUCAGUGUCCGCUUUGCUUCUGGGACAGAUGCUGAGAGUGCAGAACUUCAGUGGUACAAGCUGCUGAGCACAUUGCCUCUGUUUCUGUGUCAGUGUCCUCUUUGCUUCUGGGACAGAUGCCUGAGAGUGCAGAACUUCAGUGGGUAAAGCUGCUGAGCACAUUGCCUCUGUUUCUGUGUCAGUGUCCUCUUUGCCUCUGGGACAGACGCCUGAGAGUGCAGAACUUCAGUGGGUAAAGCGCUGAGCACAUUGCC